rnacentral:rRNA from 1 species
AUUGAACGCUGGCGGCAUGCCUUACACAUGCAAGUCGAACGGUAACAGGUCUUCGGAUGCUGACGAGUGGCGAACGGGUGAGUAAUACAUCGGAACGUGCCCGAUCGUGGGGGAUAGCGAAGCGAAAGCUUUGCUAAUACCGCAUAAGAUCUACGGAUGAAAGCAGGGGACCGCAAGGCCUUGCGCGAACGGAGCGGCCGAUGGCAGAUUAGGUAGUUGGUGGGAUAAAAGCUUACCAAGCCGACGAUCUGUAGCUGGUCUGAGAGGACGACCAGCCACACUGGGACUGAGACACGGCCCAGACUCCUACGGGAGGCAGCAGUGGGGAAUUUUGGACAAUGGGCGAAAGCCUGAUCCAGCCAUGCCGCGUGCAGGAUGAAGGCCUUCGGGUUGUACACUGCUUUUGUACGGAACGAAAAGACUCUUUCUAAUAAAGAGGGUCCAUGACGGUACCGUAAGAAUAAGCACCGGCUAACUACGUGCCAGCAGCCGCAGUAA